GACGAACGCUGGCGGCGUGCUUAACACAUGCAAGUCGAACGGAAAGGCCCUGCUUUUGUGGGGUGCUCGAGUGGCGAACGGGUGAGUAACACGUGAGUAACCUGCCCUUGACUUUGGGAUAACUUCAGGAAACUGGGGCUAAUACCGCAUAGGAGCUCUUGCUGCACGGUGGGGGUUGGAAAGUUUGGGCGGUUGGUGAUGGAUUCGCGGCUUAUCAGCUUGUUGGUGGGGUAGUGGCUUACCAAGGCUUUGACGGGUAGCCGGCCUGAGAGGGUGACCGGCCACAUUGGGACUGAGAUACGGCCCAGACUCCUACGGGAGGCAGCAGUGGGGAAUAUUGCACAGUGGGCGGAAGCCUGAUGCAGCGACGCCGCGUGCGGGAUGACGGCCUUCGGGUUGUAAACCGCUUUCGCCUGUGACGAAGCGUGAGUGACGGUAAUGGGUAAAGAAGCACCGGCUAACUACGUG
rnacentral:rRNA from 1 species